GACGAACGCUGGCGGCGUGCCUAAUACAUGCAAGUCGAACGAACCGCGACUAGGUGCUUGCACUUGGUCAAGGUGAGUGGCGAACGGGUGAGUAACACGAGGGUAACCUACCUCAUAGUGGGGGAUAACAGUCGGAAACGACUGCUAAUACCGCAUAGGACAUAGGAUCACAUGAUCCAGUGAGGAAAGGUGUCGCAAGCUAUCGCUAAGAGAUGGACCCGCGGUGCAUUAGCUAGUUGGUAGGGUAAAGGCCUACCAAGGCGAUGAUGCAUAGCCGACCUGAAAGGGUGAUGGGCCACAUUGGGACUUAGACGCGCCCCAAACUACUAAGGGAGGCAGCAGUAGGGAAUCUUACGCAAUGGACGCAAGUCUGACGGAGCAACGCCGCGUGAGUGAAGAAGGUCUUCGGAUCGUAAAGCUCUGUUGUUAGAGAAGAACAGCGCAUAGAGUAACUGUUAAGCGUGUGACGGUAUCUAACCAGAAAGCCACGGCUAACUACGUG
rnacentral:rRNA from 1 species